rnacentral:lncRNA from 1 species
UACGACGCAAAGGCAGAUCGGUUCUCCGAUUUACCCAGCAUGCCCUACGGCAAGAGCAACUUCGCCGCCGUCGUCCUGGAGGGCUGCAUCUACACCAUAGGUGGCUACAACGGAAAGACCGUUGUGCAACUCGUCGAGAGGUACGACAUCGCCGCCCGCAAGUGGUACACGGCCCCCCAGAUCAGCGACAAAUGCAGUGCGGCAGCUGCCUGCGUCGUUCAGGACGUCGUCUACCCUCCCGCCUGGCUAUAGGCACCCAUCGCCUAUCGCCUAUGUGGAGCUGGGCACUGCGAUGGAUCCUUCUUGAUCCACAAGCCUGACGGUCUUCCUCACAGGCACGCAAGCCGCGCCUGGUCGAUGUGCCGCAAGAAAAGUGAAGACUUGCGCAAGGAAACCGUUGGAGAAA